rnacentral:rRNA from 1 species
GAUGAACGCUAGCGGCAGGCUUAAUACAUGCAAGUCGUGGGGCAGCAGGGGUAGCAAUACCCGCUGGCGACCGGCAAACGGGUGCGGAACACGUACGCAACCUUCCUUUAACUGGAGAAUAGCCCCUCGAAAGAGGGAUUAAUACUCCGUAACAUAUAGAUGUGGCAUCACAAUUAUAUUAUAGCUCCGGCGGUUAAAGAUGGGCGUGCGCCUGAUUAGAUAGUUGGCAGGGUAACGGGCCUACCAAGUCUGCGAUCAGUAACUGGUGUGAGAGCACGACCAGUCACACGGGCACUGAGACACGGGCCCGACUCCUACGGGAGGCAGCAGUAAGGAAUAUUGGUCAAUGGACGCAAGUCUGAACCAGCCAUGCCGCGUGGAGGAUUAAGGCCCUCUGGGUUGUAAACUCCUUUUAUCUGGGAAGAAAUGCUAUUUUUUCUAAAGUGCUUGACGGUACCAGAGGAAUAAGCACCGGCUAACUCCGUGCCAGCAGCCGCGGUAAC